rnacentral:rRNA from 1 species
AGAACGAACGCUGGCGGCAGGCCUCAAACAUGCAAGUCUAGGGGGCGUAGCAAUACGUCACCGGCGGACGGGUGCGUAACACGUGGGAAUGUACUUACUGGUUCGGAACAACUCAGGGAAACUUGAGCUAAUACCGAAUGUGCCCGAAAGGGGAAAGAUUUAUCGCCAGUAAAUCAGCCCGCGUCCGAUUAGCUAGUUGGUGGGGUAAAGGCUCACCAAGGCGACGAUCGGUAGCUGUUCUGAGAGGAAGAUCAGCCACACUGGGACUGAGACACGGCCCAGACUCCUACGGGAGGCAGCAGUUGGGAAUCUUGGACAAUGGGGGAAACCCUGAUCCAGCCAUGCCGCGUGAGUGAUGAAGGCCUUCGGGUUGUAAAACUCUUUCGACGGGGACGAUAAUGACGGUACCCGUAGAAGAAGCUCCGGCUAACUUCGUGCCAGCAGCCGC